rnacentral:misc_RNA from 1 species
CCGAGUUUACAACUCCCAAACCCCUGUGAACUAUACCAUGUCGUUGCCUCGGCGGCGCUUACCUCCCCCAGCCCGGGGGGGGGCCCGCCAGAGGACCCAAACUCUUGUUUUUGAAUCUAGUCUUCUCUGAGUGAAACAAGCAAUAAAUUA